UACGAAGGGUGCAAGCGUUAAUCGGAAUUACUGGGCGUAAAGGGUGCGUAGGCGGUUCGUUAAGUCUGUCGUGAAAUCCUCGGGCUCAACCUGGGAAUGGCGAUGGAUACUGGCGAGCUAGAGUGUGUCAGAGGAUGGUGGAAUUCCCGGUGUAGCGGUGAAAUGCGUAGAGAUCGGGAGGAACAUCAGUGGCGAAGGCGGCCAUCUGGGACAACACUGACGCUGAAGCACGAAAGCGUGGGGAGCAAACAGG
rnacentral:rRNA from 1 species